CCUACGGGGGGCAGCAGUGGGGGAUAUUGCACAAUGGGGGGAACCCUGAUGCAGCGACGCCGCGUGGGUGAAGGAUUGCUUCGGCAUGUAAAGCCCUAUCGGCAGGGAAGAAGCAAGACGGUACCUGACUAAGAAGCCCCGGCUAACUACGUACAGGCAGCCGCGGUAAUACGUAGGGGGCGAGCGUGAUCCGGGUUCACUGGGUUUAACGGGAUCGUAGACGGCCAUGGAGGCCAGGGGUGAAAUCCCGAGGCCCAACCCUGGGACUGCCCUUGGAACUGCAUGGCUGGAGUGCGGGAGGGGCAGGCGGAAUUCCUGGUGUAGCGGUGAAAUGCGUAGAUAUCAGGAGGAACACCGGCGGCGAAGGCGGCCUGCUGGACCGCGACUGACGUUGAGGCUCGAAAGCGUGGGGAGCGAACAGGAUUAGAUACCCCAGUAGUC
rnacentral:rRNA from 1 species